AAAGUCGUAACAAGGUCUCCGUUGGUGAACCAGCGGAGGGAUCAUUACCGAGUUUUCAACUCCCAACCCAUGUGAACCUUACCACGUUGCUUCGGCGGAACGCCCCGGCGCCAACGGCCCGGACCCAGGCGCCCGCCGGGGGACCAAAAACUAGAUCUCCCGAGGAUAUUCUGAGUGGCGCACGCGCAAAUCAAAUUAAAACUUUCAACAACGGAUCUCUUGGCUCCA
rnacentral:misc_RNA from 1 species